CCUACGGGAGGCAGCAGUGGGGAAUAUUGCACAAUGGGGGAAACCCUGAUGCAGCGACGCCGCGUGAGUGAAGAAGUAUUUCGGUAUGUAAAGCUCUAUCAGCAGGGAAGAAAAUGACGGUACCUGAUUAAGAAGCCCCGGCUAACUACGUGCCAGCAGCCGCGGGAAUACGUAGGGGGCAAGCGUUAUCCGGAUUUACUGGGUGUAAAGGGAGCGUAGACGGCAGCACAAGUCUGGAGUGAAAGGCCGGGGCUUAACCCCGGAACUGCUUUGGAAACUGUGCAGUUAGAGUGCAGGAGAGGUAAGUGGAAUUCCUGGUGUAGCGGUGAAAUGCGUAGAUAUCAGGAGGAACACCAGUGGCGAAGGCGGCUUACUGGACUGUAACUGACGUUGAGGCUCGAAAGCGUGGGGAGCAAACAGGAUUAGAUACCCCUGUAGUC
rnacentral:rRNA from 1 species